rnacentral:lncRNA from 10 species
AUUCAUGAUCUUAUUCAGGAGUCUUUAUUUUGGUUAAGGAGGGUCGUAGGGGAGAGAGGGGCAGCAGGUGCUUCAUUACAUCACAAAUUCUUUGCUGCAGGCUCUGCGUGGGGGGUGAGCAGAGGACAUCAGAAGAAACUGAGGCGGCCUCGGAGCCCCUGGCAGGAGCUCUUCACUGGGACCCCCAGCCCCGUCUGCAGCCCAUCUCAGAACAGCACUGGCUUGGCUGGCAAGGCUGCUUCUCGGGGCCCAGGGUUAGUCACAGGGAUUCUGUCUUGAAGCCCCAGGCCCAGGUCGUGCGGGAGAUCCCAUGGGUGUCCUGGGUUCUAGCUCACAGGGCUCAGUCCUCCCGGGAAGGCUGGGUGAGCCCAAAGGGCAGGCUGAGCACCUCCCAAGUGGAUGUCUAUGUUGAGCUGAAAGUAAUCUCGUCACGACAACCCCCUGCAAUCGGUAAGACGAUCCCCAUUUCACAGAUGAGGAAACUAAUUCCCUGAGAAGUUUUGGGACAUGCCAGGGCCACACUACACAUAUAGUCUUCUGAUUCCAAAGUUCACAUGGGCUUGACCACAGGCUUUGCUGCUGAGGCUGUUUCUCGGCCUGGGUCCCUGGGGCGGUCUCUGGAGCUGGGUGUGUUCCGAAGCCCCUCAGGCACAUCAGCAGCCUUCCAAAAAUAUCCGUUGAGGAGUGCUGUGAUGCCCUCCUGGGCUAGGGGGCCCCAGUGUGUCUUUUCUCCCUGUGGAGAGAGUCUGGGUGGAGUGGUGGUGGGGGUUCCGGGCCAGGCUCCUCCAUCUGGCUGAGGGGCCAGAAUCCCACCUGUGAGCCCCACAAGGCAGGCCCAUGAUGGGCACCCCUCUUUGUGAGGCAGGGGGUGGGUUCUGAGAAGAGAAGGGAGGGGAGGGCCAGGGACAGGAGGGCAGGGAGACCCCAGCAGCCGAGCCUGGGAAGCUGGGACUCAUCAGGCUGCGGCCUGGGCCCUCAGGCUGCUGGGGAGGCGGGAGGAGGUCAUCCUCAUGAAUAUCUGACACUUGUCUGUCUGGAAGAGGGUCUGACUGAGCUGUCAGGGAAUGUUAAAUAGCAGCCCAGGCACCCUCCUGCUGGCUUGGGAGGCUCACAGCAUGGAAGGGAGGGCGUCCUAAGAGGCGGCCCCCUGGCCCCUCACCCCACAGUGCCUUGGUGCUGGGAGAGAAGCUGGGGCAGUGAUGAGAUGGAACAUGAAUUAGAUGCCCCAACCCUGCCGGGAGCCCCAGUGCCUCCUUGCCAGGCCCUGACAGCCCCACCGUGCCCCUCCAAGUCUGCUCCCACACCACCGCCUUGGCACCUGCUGCUCCUGGCACUGGACACUUCUGCCCCAGGCGUUUAAGGCCUCACUCACGGCUCAGGUCCUAGAAGAGCCCUGCCUGACUACCUAGGCCACCCUCCCCCAUGCACCUCCAUCUCAGCACUUCUUCACCCAGCCCUUGUGAACUGAUCCUAUUAUUGUGUUUUCUGUCUCUCCCCUUUAGCGCAUCAGCUCUGCGAGAGUGGAACCUGAUCCUCAUGUGACCUGCUUUUCCUCGUGACACAGCCUGGCACCCAAGAGAUCCUCACUCCCAAAACUCAACAGUAAAAGAGCAAACCAUCAGGUUAGAAAAUGUGAAAGACAUGCACAGACAUUUCACCAGAGAGGACACGUGGAUGGCAAAGGCGGCGGGAAGAGAUGUUCGCCGUCAUUAGCCAUUCUGGCAACGCAGAGGAGGACCGCUGUGAGACACCACCAUGUGCCUGUCCGAACAGCUAGAACCAAAGAUAAUGACAACUGAAAGCUGGUGAGGAUGUGGAGAAACGGAAUCACCCCUCCAUUGUCGGUGGAAAGGGAAAACGCCUUAGCCACUCUGGAGAACAGUCUGGCAGCUUCCUAUAAAAACUAGGCAUGCGCUACCACAGAGCCCGACCACGGUAUUUUUGGCCGUUUAUCCUGAAGAAACGAAAAGUUAUGUUCAAGUGAAAACAUGUACACAAAUGUUCAUGGCAGCUUUACUUGGAACGGCCCCAUACUGGAAGCAACCCAAUGCCCUUCAAUGGGUGAAUGAUUAAACAAACUCCAGUGCAUCCAUACCACGGAAUUCUGGACAAGUAAAACAAACAAACUGUUGGCGCACACCACACCUGCGUGAACCUCCAGAGAAUUACGCUGAAUGAAAAAGCCAACCCAAAAGGUCACAUUCUGUGUGAUUCUAUUUAUAUAACAUUGUAAAAUGACAAAGUUUUAGAAAUGGAGAACAGAUUAGAGGGCCAGGGGUUAAGGAUGGGGGGAGGCAGGCAGGAGGGAGAGGGGUGUGGCUCUCACAGGGCGGCAGGAGGGGCCUUGAGGGGACAGAGCUGUUUUGCAUCUUGAUGGUGCUGUUGAGUGCCUGAACCUACACGUGAUAAAAAUUGUAGCAAAAAAUGCACACGGAAAUGAGUGCGUGUGAACUGGGAAAUCGGACUAGGACUGGUGGGUUGCAUCAUUGCAGACACUCCAGUUGUGCUAUUGUGUUGUAGUUUUGAAAUAUGCUGUCAUUGGGGAAACCAGGUUAAGUGUACAUGGGCCCUCUUUGUGAGCUCCUGCAACUGCAUGUGAAUCUACAACGAGCUCAAUAAAGAUUUCCAUCAAAAAAUACUCUCAUGCACCCAAAAAGAAGGUGUUAAAAACGCAAGCAUGCACAAGGCUCUGAAUAAAUAUUCACGAAUGAUCAAAAGUCCCCUGUGCUCUUCACAAUUCACCUGGGGCUCUCUCCUCCCACUCCUGCUCGAUGCCGGCCUCAUUUUAAUGGGUGACAGAACUGUCAUUGUCUACCAGCUUUAGAGGAUGGCCAGGGUUGAGUGGCAGAGACGAGUGAAGCCAGAAGAUCUGGGCCCUGGGUUCAGGCAGAGUCCCUGGUGGCAUACUUGGCAGUGUGGGCAUUUAGGGCUGUGUCCCAGAAACGGCCCUAGGCUGGCCCUGGGGACCUGCAGCCUUCUCAAAGGUCACAAGUUUCCCUGAAGGAUAGAGGCUGCUGGUGAGCCAGGCAGGCCAUUCUCUGCCAGUCACCUGGUGGCCGAGAUCUGUAGCUCCUGCCCAGCCAGGCAGGCCAGGACCAGGCCUCAACUUCCUUCUAAGUCCUCCUGGCCUGUGGGGAGCCAGGGAGGGAUGGAAAAAGAUGGCGUGGGUGAUGCCCCUGCUGUGUGCUGGUGCUGAGUUAGUUGUUUGGAGGGGUUAUCAUAUUUAAUGGUCACACCAACUUUUUGAGGUUCCUUAGAACCUCAAAAUUACCCAAAGCACCCAACUGAGCCCCAAAUCCGGUAAUGGAUUCUAGCUCACCCGUUCUCAUGCAGCUUGCCAGGGUCCCUGGGGUAUGCGUUCUCCUGUUAUUCAACAGGGGUAAACCCAGCCUGUUCUGAGUCAGCUGCGUCCUGGGGGCUUUGGCCUGAGGUCUCUGGCAGUGGGGAGCUGCACCUACGAGGUGCAGGAGAUGACUUAGACUCGGGGCCAGCACACUCUCCAGCUCCCCACUGCCAUUCUCUUUACAAAGGGAGGGCACGGCCUCAGCUCAGAGCCUCAACAGGCCACAGACCAUGGGUGGGAGUUUAUCGCUGCUGCCUUAUUUCAUGGCAAUGUGGUGGUUACCUUCCACUUCUGCUCCCGGCUUCCCACUUACAGUACUGAUUUAAAGAUUCCCUUUUAAAUGAAUUCACUAAAAUUCAAUGCAUGAGUUAAUUUAAAGAAAAAUAAUAAGAAACAAUAGCACAGGUCACAACAGAUACAGCAAAACGGUAAAGGCAGGAAGUGUAUGUUUCUCUCUGUGGCUGAGGCUGGGGGCUUGCUCGACUCAGCCAGGCGACCCCUCAAGUCUGAGUGACGGCGGCCUCUCGCCAGGCUGCUGAGACUGACAUGUGGCUGGUCCACACUGAGACGUGCCCUCGUGUAAACACACACUGGGUUCCAAACAUUUACUUACUAGACUAUCAAAUAGUUCAUUAAAAAUGCUUUAUAUCAAUUGCAGGUUGAAAUGAUAAUCAUUUACACUGGGUUUAAUAAAACAUAUGGUUAAAAUAAUUUAACCUUUUUUUCUUUCUUUACUGUGCCUACUGGCACAUUUUAAGUGACAUCUGUGGCUUGCAUCAUGUCUCUAUUGGACAGGACUGAUCCGGAUGGUUCUCAGACCUGCCAGCCGGCAGGCUUGGGGCAGCAUCCUCCUGGCAGGGCACAGCCGCCCCAGCUGCUCUCUGCCACUCAAGUCCAGCUGGACUCGCAGCUGCCUCAGAAGGGUGGCCUGGUGGAAUGUGCAGAUCAGAUUGGGGGUUCGAUGAGGCAGGCGGCCAUCUGGGGGAGGCGAGGGAUGCCCAGGCCCAGGAGAGCGGGGGAAGGCUGAGCCAGGCGGAGGUCAUGGCUGGGUGCUGGGGAUAUUAUGGAGACAGGUACUCAGGACCUACUCUAGAUGUGGCCAGUGAGGGAGGGGCGGCGACUUCCCAGUGCCUGAGAAAACUGUCACUGCGGGAAUGUAGGAGUGAGGUGAGAAUUCAUGAAUGGCUGGGGAGUAGGCUAGGGAGCCGGGCAGUCAUGGGGCGUUACUGGGGGACAGCCACUGACCGUGACCCUGAGGAGUCAGAACACCUCCCAACCUGAGCUCUGACUACAGUCCCUGCUGCCACAAGAGAGGAAGGUUAUUUUUCACAAUCUCCCAUUGAUCUUGAUGAGAAACCUAAUGGUGGCUUCUCCUAGGACCACUGUCUCUGCUGGGCCCAGCACCAGGAGGUGUGGGUCCCACUCCCCUCCCUGGCCAGGCCAGCCACAGGAAGGCCACCAGCAGACAUAAGGACAGUGAGACCCACUGGGGCCCAGGAGCUGGUUGUGGGAGGGUAGAGCGCAGUGUGGGGUCACAAUGGCCAAGGGAAGAACCAGAUGUAAGUGCAGGACUCAGGCCACCCACUCUGCCAGUCUGGCAGGGGCAGGAGUGGCCAAG